rnacentral:lncRNA from 1 species
UUUCCCCCAGCAGUGGAGAAGGCAAUCUGAGAUGCUGCUGGUUCCAAGGCUUUAGAAGAAGAGAGAGAGGAUUUUCCCUUGCAUUCUUAAUCCAGUUUUAUCAUUAAUGAUACUAACAUUUUGAUCCAGUUGGAUCUUUAUUUCUAUUCAUCAAUAUUUGGUACACAGAGACGAGGAAGUGGGCAGAAAGGUGACUGAUUAGGCUCCCUCAGCGUACGUUAUCACAUCAUUCUAUUCCCAGGUUGCUAUGGUGCUUCCUAUAAUCCAAGUUGCUUAUAGACAGUGUGCAUGGAGCUUUCUCAACCUGCCUUGCUCACCUCUUUGCUUUCUCAACCUGCAUUGCUCAACCUGCAGUCUGCAACUCUUUGUGGCCAUGGACAGAAGCUCAGACCGAGAGCUCUCUGCGAUUCUGUGAUUCAGAGACCGAACUUGUGUGUGACCAUCUCCUUGAACUCCUUGAUUUCUAGCCUGAGAAAUGAAAGUGUGAAACAAGCUUCACAUAAAAUAUUUAAAGAACAAACUUUAUUCAUGAAAAUAAAUGAGAAGAUGAUGAACUUCUAAA